AGUGAACGCUGGCGGUAGGCCUAACACAUGCAAGUCGAACGGCAGCACAGUAAGAGCUUGCUCUUACGGGUGGCGAGUGGCGGACGGGUGAGGAAUACAUCGGAAUCUACUUUUUCGUGGGGGAUAACGUAGGGAAACUUACGCUAAUACCGCAUACGACCUACGGGUGAAAGCAGGGGAUCUUCGGACCUUGCGCGAUUGAAUGAGCCGAUGUCGGAUUAGCUAGUUGGCGGGGUAAAGGCCCACCAAGGCGACGAUCCGUAGCUGGUCUGAGAGGAUGGUGGGCCACACUGGAACUGAGACACGGUCCAGACUCCUACGGGAGGCAGCAGUGGGGAAUAUUGGACAAUGGGCGCAAGCCUGAUCCAGCCAUACCGCGUGGGUGAAGAAGGCCUUCGGGUUGUAAAGCCAUUUUGUUGGGAAAGAAAAGCAGCAGGUUAAUACCCCGCUGUUCUGACGGUACCCAAAGAAUAAGCACCGGCUAACUUCGUG
rnacentral:rRNA from 1 species